CACACACACACACACACACACACACACACACACACGUGUGAUUAACUAACAUUGUGUGUGCACUGUUGAGAGAUUUUUAAGUAUUUUUUUAGAUUAGUUUUAAAGCUACUGAACAAGCCACAGCAUUUUAUAGUGUCUGGGAUGGUAUUCCAUUGGGUAAUGGCA